rnacentral:lncRNA from 1 species
UGGUUGAAUUGGUUGAAUGUAAUUGCUAGGAUUGGCAUUAUGUUUUGUUGUGUAGGUGUGUGCAUUAAAGUGGUGACAAAAUGGCUUGGUAAAUAGCCUUGUUUUUUUCCACACAGGUAGACACACGGGCGUGCACGGCUUGCCCCAUAGGCGUGUGUUCUGACCGUGUGUCCCUUGCACCUUAAUUGUUGCAAAACAGAAUGCUCAGAAUUGAGCACACCGACAAAGACACGAGCGUGCGUCUCAACUGUGUGGAUGAGACGGCUUCAGGCAUGGGUGUUUGCCUAGGGCGUGUGAAGUCUAC